GAUGUACGCUGGCGGCGUGCCUAACACAUGCAAGUCGAACGGAGUCCAGCCUUUAAGACCUUCGGGUCAAAGAGGGGAAGACUGAGUGGCGGACGGGUGAGUAACACGUGGGCAACCUGGCUCAUAGAGGGGGAUAACAGAGAGAAAUUUCUGCUAAUACCGCAUAAGCACACACUGCCGCAUGGCAGAGGGUGAAAAGAGAAUCGCUAUGAGAUGGACCCGCGUCUGAUUAGCCAGUUGGCAGGGUAAGAGCCUACAAAAGCGACGAUCAGUAGCCGAUCUGAGAGGAUGAACGGCCACAUUGGGACUGAGACACGGCCCAAACUCCUACGGGAGGCAGCAGUGGGGGAUAUUGCACAAUGGGGGGAACCCUGAUGCAGCGACGCCGCGUGAGUGAAGAAGUAUUUCGGUAUGUAAAGCUCUAUCAGCAGGGAAGAUAAUGACAGUACCUGAAUAAGAAGCCCCGGCUAACUACGUG
rnacentral:rRNA from 1 species